CCCCCUGUCAGGUUGUAGAAGACAUCAUUCAAGCUAAAAUUAUGACAGUCUGGUCACUAGACCUCCUACACCAGCAAUUCUGCUCAAUAUGCUAAGAAAAAUGGUCUUACUCAGAAAAAGAGGAUGCUGGCAAUUCUGGGAGUUUCUGUUGCUAUAAUGUUUCUUCUUAUAGUCUCAGUUGUGUAUUGUUUUGUAAUGAAGAAGAAAAAAGAGAAGAGGCAUAGCACAUAUUCAUAUAGUGCUAACUCCACUUUACAAUACUUCGAAGACUCUCCAAGAGGAAGGGACCUCGAUGGAGCUAGAAGAAAUUCAAAUUUGCCAUUAUUUGAUCUAGGAACCAUUGUUGCAGCUACAGAUAACUUCUCUAUUGCUAACAAGCAUGGCCAAGGUGGUUUUGGC